GACGUAGGGUCCGAGCGUUGUCCGGAUUUACUGGGCGUAAAGAGCGCGUAGGCGGUCUGUUAAGUGUGGUGUGAAAUCUCCAGGGCUCAACCCGGAAACUGCACCGCAUACUGGCAGACUGGAGGGAUGCAGAGGUGAGUGGAAUUCCUGGUGUACCGGUGAAAUGGGUAGAUAUCAGGAGGAACACCAGUGGCGAAGGCGGCUCACUGGCCCGAUACCUGACGCUGAGGUG
rnacentral:rRNA from 1 species